rnacentral:tRNA from 1 species
CGGGGCGUAGCGCAGCCCGGUUAGCGCGCCUGCUUCGGGAGCAGGAGGUCGGGAGUUCGAAUCUCCCCGCCCCGACCA